AGGUCUGGGCCUAGGAUAGGUAAGAUUAAGUCGAGUCAUAGGUGUACAUGGGCUUGGAUUAACCUAAUCUCCCAUAGAGUUGGUCAAGGGAGUUUUGGGUUUGGGUCACUUGACCCUGUGUUUAUAUAUACAUGUACUUGUAUAGGUUUGAUUAAGCCAAGAGAAUACACAACUCUUUCUCCCAAGUCUCUCUUUCUUUCUUCUCCCUCUCUCUCCAGUAACUCUCCAUGCCCCA
rnacentral:lncRNA from 1 species